UUUAGGCCAGGCUUCCUCAACCUCGGCCCUCCAUGAUCCCUAGCUAGCAGGACCAGUGGUCAGGGAUGAUGGGAAUUGUAGUCUCAAAACAUCUGGAGGGCCGAGGCUGAGGAAGCCUGGUCUAGG